rnacentral:sRNA from 1 species
GCUGGGCCCGGAGGCGCAGGCCUGUGAUCCCCGCGACUCGGAGGCUGAGGCAGGAGGACCCCAAGUUUGAGGCCAGCCUCAGCAGCUGAGUGAGGCCCUGUCUCAA